rnacentral:lncRNA from 1 species
AUUACUUUGUUAUCCUAUAACUUCUGGUAAGUAUUUAAUAGACUAAACUUUGUGUAUAUUGAGUAGGGACUGCUGUUUGAUUACUUGAUAAUUUCUUGGUUGACUGAGUUGAUAUUAGUUAGGUUUUUGGCUUGUUAUAAAGUGAAUUGAUUGUGAUGUGUUGUGAAGUGAAUUGAUUGUGAUGUGUUGUGAAGUGAAAUGAUUGUGAUUAAGGAUUGAUGACUUUUGUAUGGAUAUUGUGUGAUCGGGAAAGCUGAGCCGGGCGGAUAGCUACCCGAGUAUGUGAGAUGGCAAGACUGAGCCGGGCGGAUAGUCUUGUCAAGUGGUUACUGAAAUUUAAAAAUGUGAGGAAAUGUAAGGAUGAGUCAUCUGAUCCUAAUUUGAUAGAAAUAAUGUGGAAUUGAAUUAUUUGACUUGGUUGAGUUUGAGAUUAUUUGCAUUACGUGAGAUGAAAUUAUAUGUUUAUGAGAAUAACUGAAAUGGUUGAUUUUGUGAUUGUUAGUUAAGUGUUGGUAUAAUUUUCUGUAUUGAUAAAGAUUUGAUAAUUCUAGCCUAAUAUACUAUAGUUUAGUA